GUAGGGAAUAUUGGACAAUGGGGGGAACCCUGAUCCAGCCAUGCCGCGUGGAGGAAGACUGCCCUCUGGGUUGUAAACUCCUUUUAUAUGGGAAGAACCGUCCUCAUUAAUGAGUGACCUGACGGUACCAUAGGAAUAAGCACCGGCUAACUCCGUGCCAGCAGCCGCGGUAAUACGGAGGGUGCAAGCGUUAUCCGGAUUCACUGGGUUUAAAGGGUGCGUAGGCGGAUAAAUAAGUCAGUGGUGAAAUCAACGGGCUCAACCUGUUAACUGCCAAUGAUACUGUGUAUCUUGAAUAUGAGAGAAGUAGGCGGAAUAUUGCAUGUAGCGGUGAAAUGCUUAGAGAUGCUACGGAACACCGAUUGCGAAGGCAGCUUACUAUUUCGUAAUUGACGCUGAGGCACGAAAGCGUGGGUAGCGAACAGGAUUAGAUACCCGAGGAGUCC
rnacentral:rRNA from 1 species